rnacentral:rRNA from 1 species
GACGAACGCUGGCGGCGUGCUUAACACAUGCAAGUCGAACGGAAAGGCCCCUUUGGGGGUACUCGAGUGGCGAACGGGGGAGUAACACGUGAGUAACCUGCCCUUGACUUCGGGAUAACUUCAGGAAACUGGGGCUAAUACCGGAUAGGAAUCCUUGCUGCAUGGUGGGGGUUGGAAAGCUUCGGCGGGUUUGGAUGGACUCGCGACUUAUCAGCUUGUUGGUGGGGUAGUGGCUUACCAAGGCUUUGACGGGUAGCCGGCCUGAGAGGGCGACCGGCCACAUUGGGACUGAGAUGCGGCCCAGACUCCUACGGGAGGCAGCAGUGGGGAAGAUUGCCCGAUGGGCGGCAGCCUGAUGCAGCAACGCCGCGUACGGGAUGACGGCCUUCGGGUUGUAAACCGCUUUCAGCAGGGGCGAAGCUUGUGGUGACGGUACCUGCAGAAGAAGCACCGGCUAACUACGUG